UGGCUCAGAUUGACGCUGGCGGCAUGCUUAACACAUGCAAGUCGAACGGUAACAGGUCUUCGGAUGCUGACGAGUGGCGGACGGGUGAGUAACGCGUAGGAAUCUGCCCAUCUGUGGGGGAUACCAGUUGGAAACGACUGUUAAUACCGCAUAAUAUCUGCGGAUUAAAGGUGGCCUUUGUGCUGCCGCAGAUGGAUGAGCCUGCGUUGGAUUAGCUAGUUGGUGGGGUAAGGGCCUACCAAGGCUACGAUCCAUAGCUGAUUUGAGAGGAUGAUCAGCCACAUUGGGACUGAGACACGGCCCAAACUCCUACGGGAGGCAGCAGUGGGGAAUAUUGGACAAUGGGGGAAACCCUGAUCCAGCAAUGCCAUGUGUGUGAAGAAGGCUCUAGGGUUGUAAAGCACUUUAGUUGGGGAGGAAAGCCUAUAAGUUAAUAGCUUGUAGGAAGGACGUUACCCAAAGAAUAAGGACCGGCUAACUCCGUGCCAGCAGCCGCGGUAAUACGGGGGGUCCGAGCGUUAAUCGGAAUUACUGGGCGUAAAGGGUCUGUAGGUGGUUUAUUAAGUCAGAUGUGAAAGCCCAGGGCUCAACCUUGGAACUGCAUUUGAUACUGGCAAACUAGAGUAUGGUAGAGGAAUGGGGAAUUUCUGGUGUAGCGGUGAAAUGCGUAGAGAUCAGAAGGAACACCAAUGGCGAAGGCAACAUUCUGGAUCAAUACUGACACUGAGGGACGAAAGCGUGGGGAUCAAACAGGAUUAGAUACCCUGGUAGUCCACGCUGUAAACGAUGAGUACUAGCUGUUGGAUUCGGUGUAAAGGAUCUAGUGGCGCAGCUAACGCGUUAAGUACUCCGCCUGGGGACUACGGCCGCAAGGCUAAAACUCAAAGGAAUUGACGGGGACCCGCACAAGCGGUGGAGCAUGUGGUUUAAUUCGAUGCAACGCGAAGAACCUUACCUGGUCUUGACAUCCUGCGAACUUUCUAGAGAUAGAUUGGUGCCUUCGGGAACGCAGUGACAGGUGCUGCACGGCUGUCGUCAGCUCGUGUUGUGAAAUGUUGGGUUAAGUCCCGCAACGAGCGCAACCCCUAUUGAUAGUUACCAUCAUUAAGUUGGGUACUCUAUUGAGACUGCCGCUGACAAGGCGGAGGAAGGUGGGGACGACGUCAAGUCAUCAUGGCCCUUACGACCAGGGCUACACACGUGCUACAAUGGGUAUUACAGAGGGCUGCGAAGGUGCGAGCUGGAGCGAAACUCAGAAAGGUACUCUUAGUCCGGAUUGCAGUCUGCAACUCGACUGCAUGAAGUCGGAAUCGCUAGUAAUCGCAGGUCAGAAUACUGCGGUGAAUACGUUCCCGGGUCUUGUACACACCGCCCGUCACACCAUGGGAGUGGGUUGCUCCAGAAGUAGAUAGUUUAACGAAUGGGCGUUUACCACGGAGUGAUUCAUGACUGGGGUGAAGUCGUAACAAGGUAGCCGUAGGGGAACCUGCGGCUGGAUCACCUCCUUA
rnacentral:rRNA from 1 species